CCUACGGGUGGCAGCAGUGGGGGAUAUUGCACAAUGGAGGCAACUCUUAUGCAGCAAUGCCGCGUGAGUGAAGAAGGGCUUCGGAUCGUAAAGUUCUGUAAUUAGGGACGAAAAAAAUGGCGGUUCCCAAGGAAUAAUCCGCUGCUAACUACUUGCCAGCAGCCGCGGUAAUACGUAGGGGGCAAGCGUUGGUCGGCAUGAAUGGGCGUAAAGGGGGUGGAGGCGGGGUAGCAAGUCAGAAGUGAAAUGCCUAGGGCUUAACUCAGGUGCUGCUUCUAAAACUGCUAAACUUGAGUGCAGUAGAGGAAAGUGGAAUUCCUAGUGUAGCGGUGGAAUGCGUAGAUAUUAGGAGGAACACCAGUGGCGAAGGCGACUUUCUGGACUGUAACUGACGCUGAGGCACGAAAGUGUGGGGAGCAAACAGGAUUAGAUACCCGAGUAGUC
rnacentral:rRNA from 1 species